CUACGUAGGUGACAAGCGUUAUCCGGAUUUACUGGGCGUAAAGGGCGUGUAGGCGGUCUUGCAAGUCAGAAGUGAAAUUCCUGAGCUCAACUCGGGCGCUGCUUCUGAAACUGCAGGACUUGAGUGUUGGAGGGGAUAGCGGAAUUCCUAGUGGAGCGGUAAAAUGCGCAGAUAUUAGGAAGAACACCGGUGGCGAAGGCGGCUAUCUGGACAGUAACUGACGCUGAGGCGCGAAAGCGUGGGGAGCAAACAGGAUUAGAUACCCUGGUAGUCCACGCCGUAAACGACGAAUACUAGGUGUAGGGGGUAUCGACUCCCUCUGUGCCGCAGUUAACACAAUAAGUAUUUCGCCUGGGGAGUACGGCCGCAAGGUUGAAACUCAAAUGAAUUGACGGGG
rnacentral:rRNA from 1 species